UACAAGAUUACCUGGCUUCUAAAUCUCCCCAGCUGAGUCUUAGAGGCUUCUUUGAAGAGCUGAUUUCAGGCAGCAGAAUUGGCCCCCAGGAGGGACUCUGUGCCUGCUCUCCCGUGGCUCCAAGGGAUCUCUGGCCCUUCACGCCGGCACCGAGAUUUUCUCGGGAAGGGCCUCAGAUCCCCGGACCAGUCUGGGACACAGGCAAGAUCCCCCUGCAGUUUAGGACCAAAUUGGCCCCCUGGAGGGACAGUGCUGUUGGUGCCCCCGGGUUGGGGCACCCCGAGGACUCCAGCGCGCACCGAAAGGAUUAUUCGGGGAGAUCCUCGGGGUGCCCGGCCCUGGGGAGCUCAAAGCAAGGUCCCUGCAAUGGAUUCAGGCAUUGCUGAGAGUAUCCCAGGGGUCCCUGUCCCUGCUAGACAUGGAGCUCUCUAAUGGGCUGGAAUUGGGUGAUAAAAGUGGUGCUCCAAGUGCCAAAGCAGUGUGGGAUUGGGAUUAAGAAAUGAGCAGUGAGGGUCCAAUUGGCUGUUUUCUCUGGAAUGUGACUGUGAGAGCUGCAGGAGUGCCAGGUGUGUGUUCCAGUCCCCAGCAUUUGGUUUGCACAUGUCCUGGUCAGACACAGGUCCAAUUUCCUCAGUCCUUAACACAGCAGAGGGAGAAUGAAGGACUGGCAGUGUUCAGGUGGUUGGUGUGACAGGGGUUAAACUGGGAAAACAUUGGGUAAUUCCUCAGUUUGUCUCUUUGCCAAACUCACCCAAACCUGUGCUAGGAAGAGAUUGAAUCAAAAACUUGAGGUAGAAAUGGAAUUGAAAACUGGGGCUGUUGAAACUGUAAUUGCUGAAACUAAAUGUGUCCAAGCAGCAGCUCUUGUUGUGCAGGGAAUAACUCCUGUCAGCAGCAAGGUCCUGACUGAAGUGGCAGCUGCAGUUGUUCCUGUGGUGUGGGCCAGUGGAACUGCAGGAGAGUGGAAGAGGGCAGAACCUGUAGGAAUUACCCCUACUGUGGGAUCUCUCCUGUUAAGGCCAAGCCAGUAUCCUUUAAAAUCAGAAUGCCAGACUGGAUUGGUUGCAGGAACAGCUGAAUUUGCUCCUCCUGGUUUGCUUGUAGAAGGUGAAUGCCAGAACCUGCCAAGAAACCAAUGGCCAAGGGGAUUGAUUAGUGCAGGACCUGAGAGAACCCCCUGAAAUGACAACCUGGAGUAGUUUGCAGUAUUAGAUUGCAAAGAUGGCCUUUGCUGCAUCUCCUUGAGCAAGGAAAGCCAAGAAACCUUUGCUUUUGCAGGAGAAAAUGUGGACAGCGGGCAGGAAGAAGAGAAGCCCCGUGACUCCUCCCUGAGCCCCAGCCAGCCCCUGAACUGCCUUCCUGGGAAUGGUGGGACGGGCUGGACUCUGGAUUGCUCCCUCUGGAUGUGUGGCUCUCCCCUCAGGAACUGCAGGAACUCCUGGUGCCGCCUGGGCCGAUGGAUUGGACACCCCAGCCCCUCCGUUCCUGCCCAGCCACUGGGGCCGUGUCGAGUGGUGGCACUGCCAGCCCUGCAGGGGAAGUGGGAAGGGCCUUUGCUGGUCCUGUGGAUCACAUUUAUAGCAGUGGGAUGUAGCCUGGAAACUGCAGAGAGCUGAGCCCAGGGAUUGAAAGGGACCAAGCAAGGGAGGUGAAGAAAGAAGGAAGAAGGGAAGUGAGGCAUCAGCCAAGCAGCACCAAGUUCCUGUGUAAGCAGGGAAUAACUCCUGUCAGCAGCAAGGUCCUGACUGAAGUGGCAGCUGCAGUUGUUCCUGUGGUGUGGGCCAGUGGAACUGCAGGAGAGUGGAAGAGGGCAGAACCUGUAGGUAUUACCCCUAAGCCAGAGUCUGUACUGGUAAGGCAAACACAGUAUCCUUUAAAAUUGGGAAGCCAAAUUGGAUUGGUUCCAGUAAUAGCUAAAUUUGCUAAACAUGGUUUGAUUUUAGAAGGUGAAUGCAAGGACCUGUAGAGAAAGCAAAUGACAAAGAUGAUUGAUUCCUGGAGCAGGGUCUGACAGACAGUGGUACUGGAUGUUUGGUUGUGUUUGGGAAUGAGCAGCUUGACCUGCCCAGGGUUGUCUGUGCUGGGGGUGGGUUUGGGUCCUGUGUGGCCACAGGUCUGUGCAGCAGCUGGAGCCUGGGCAGGUUUGGGGGCUGUGGUGUGCCAGGCUGCUGAGUGUGUUGUCCCUGUUUCCUUUCAGUGUCCCAGUGUCCCUGCUUGGCUGUUUGCUGCC